rnacentral:rRNA from 1 species
ACGGUCCUAGCGGGAGGCAGGGCAGUAGGGGAAUAUUGCACAAUGGGCGCAAGCCUGAUGCAGCCAUGCCGCGUGUAUGAAGAAGGCCUUCGGGUUGUAAAGUACUUUCAGCAGUGAGGAAGGUGGGUGUGUUAAUAGCAUACUCAUUUGACGUUAGCUGCAGAAGAAGCACCGGCUAACUCCGUGCCAGCAGCCGCGGUAAUACGGAGGGUGCGAGCGUUAAUCGGAAUUACUGGGCGUAAAGCGCAUGCAGGUGGUUUGUUAAGUCAGAUGUGAAAGCCCGGGGCUCAACCUCGGAAUUGCAUUUGAAACUGGCAAACUAGAGUACUGUAGAGGGGGGUAGAAUUUCAGGUGUAGCGGUGAAAUGCGUAGAGAUCUGAAGGAAUACCGGUGGCGAAGGCGGCCCCCUGGACAGAUACUGACACUCAGAUGCGAAAGCGUGGGGAGCAAACAGGAUUAGAUACCCUGGUAGCUAC